UCGUCGGCCAACACACCCGCCCUCCAUCUCAGAUCCCAACAGGAGAGCAAGUAAGAGGAUAACGUGAUGCCUCCAGGCCACAGCAGCUGCACCACCCGAUGGACUCUCCAGGCUCUGAAUGAGGACAGGUGAUUGCAUCAUCAGCUUGUCAGCAAGUCCGGUCUAACCAGUAGCCAGUAUGAUAACCUGUUGGUUUGGAUUGGUCCAAGAUUAAAUAUUUCAACUUUUUUUUUUGCAUCUUUUGCGUCUUCUGCGCAACCAUUCACGUCUGUGCGUUGACUUUGCAUGGAAGCUGCUUGCGCUUUUAGUGUGAACGCAGCAUAAGCGCGUUCUACCAAAAAAAACAUUUAGAGAGAAAUGCAAGAUGAGAAUGGAGGAAGCCAAAUGAGCUUAAGUGACGACAGUAUCCUUUUUGUCUGGUUGCCACCAAUGGAACAAAUAAAAGAGACUCCCAGACAGCUGGAACAAUGUGAAACCAUGGAGAGACCCUACAAAUGUAACCGUUCCUUUUAUUGUAUUCAUGAGUUGAAUUGCAGUUAUUGUAGUUAUUUAAGAAACACCGCCUCCGUUCUGGAUGUUUUUUAUUUUCUGGAAAUCCUCGCUGCCUGUAAGUACGAUACACGUGCUUCUCUUCUAGACAAUGGCCGCGUUCACAAUCUCUGGGUUCUCACCUUCAGGAUGUGAUGACAGCCUGUUUUGGCACAGCGAUGCUUCUUGACUGCAAUGCCUCUUGAUUAAAACGCUGAGAGGCGACGCGGGGCGAGUUGCAUGUCUUUGACCUUAAAAAUGCUACAGAAAUGUCGAUAAGACGUCGUUCUUCACACUGAGGAAAAAGUUUAAACAAUAGCACACAUACAAUAGUGUAACAUUAUAUCCUAUCAUUACGCGGGAACAAGCUGCUUAAAUGAGUUCUUCCUUUUCAGACGGAUCAAAACCUCUGAUUAAUCAACUAUAUUUGUCCUCUGCUAUGAUUUUGGACCCGGACAUGGCAAUUGCAUGCGGUAAUUAACAUUAAAGCUCUUCAGCUCAUAUAAUCUUUCUAUUUAUGUUGCAAGUUUCACUCGGAUGGCAUUUUGUGGGGAUGAAAAGGAAAAGGAGGAAGAAGCUGCUCUCUUUUUGAGAAGGGUCAUUAAAGGUGUAAUCAUUGCCUAUUGUGAGCGUGAUGCAACCUCCACCAUGCAACACGUGACAUACCGACAAUUCUUUUUCACCAUGAUAAUCACGAGUGUUUUGAAAUGAAAGUAAUGUUCAUCUUUUCUCAGUUUUUCUCAAAUACAAAUUGCAUACAGCCAUGCAACGUAAAUGUAAAAUAUAGAUUAAUUUGCUGCACAGACAUUUAAGCAAACUACAUGUAUUUACAAAAUCUACAUCAACCUAAUAUCAGGGAGUUUUUUGGAGUAUUUUGAAGCAAAAGAAAGCCUUAUUUAACCAAGUUAGAUUUUAUUUUUU
ensembl:lncRNA